UGUAAUGGAAUUCUGGCAUUUUUGUCUC
rnacentral:piRNA from 1 species